rnacentral:rRNA from 1 species
AACGAACGCUGGCGGCAGGCCUAACACAUGCAAGUCGAACGACAGCACCGUGAGAGCUUGCGCUUACGUGCGGCACGCGUCGGACGGGUCAGGUAUACUCCGGAAUCUUCUCUGUCGGGGGGGAUAAUGCAGGGAAAUUUCUUCUAAUCCAGGAUUCAUCCUCCUGGGGUGAGCCGGCGAUUUAUGGGCUAGGUGGGAGGGUAAGAGCCUACCAAGGCGUCGAUCCGUAGCUGGUCUGAGAGCAUGAUCGGCCACAUUGGAACUGAGACACGGUCCAGACUCCGACGGUAGGCAGCAGUGGGGAAUAUUGGACAAUGGGCGCAAGCCUGAUCCAGCCAUACCGCGUGAGUGAAGAAGGCCUUCGGGUGGUAAAGCCCUUUUGUUGGGAAAGAAAAGCAGCAGGUUAAUACGCCGCUGUUCUGACGGUACCCAAAGAAUAAGCACCGGCUAACUUCGUG